GACGAACGCUGGCGGCGUGCUUAACACAUGCAAGUCGAACGGAAAGGCCCUGCUUUUGUGGGGUGCUCGAGUGGCGAACGGGUGAGUAACACGUGAGUAACCUGCCCUUGACUUUGGGAUAACUUCAGGAAACUGGGGCUAAUACCGGAUAGGAGCUCCUGCUGCAUGGUGGGGGUUGGAAAGUUUCGGCGGUUGGGGAUGGACUCGCGGCUUAUCAGCUUGUUGGUGGGGUAGUGGCUUACCAAGGCUUUGACGGGUAGCCGGCCUGAGAGGGUGACCGGCCACAUUGGGACUGAGAUACGGCCCAGACUCCUACGGGAGGCAGCAGUGGGGAAUAUUGCACAAUGGGCGGAAGCCUGAUGCAGCAACGCCGCGUGCGGGAUGACGGCCUUCGGGUUGUAAACCGCUUUCGCCUGUGACGAAGCGUGAGUGACGGUAAUGGGUAAAGAAGCACCGGCUAACUACGUGCCAGCAGCCGCGGUGAUACGUAGGGUGCGAGCGUUGUCCGGAUUUAUUGGGCGUAAAGGGCUCGUAGGUGGUUGAUCGCGUCGGAAGUGUAAUCUUGGGGCUUAACCCUGAGCGUGCUUUCGAUGCGGGUUGACUUGAGGAAGGUAGGGGAGAAUGGAAUUCCUGGUGGAGCGGUGGAAUGCGCAGAUAUCAGGAGGAACACCAGUGGCGAAGGCGGUUCUCUGGGCCUUUCCUGACGCUGAGGAGCGAAAGCGUGGGGAGCGAACAGGCUUAGAUACCCUGGUAGUCCACGCUGUAAACGGUGGGUACUAGGUGUGGGGUCCAUUCCACGGGUUCCGUGCCGUAGCUAACGCUUUAAGUACCCCGCCUGGGGAGUACGGCCGCAAGGCUAAAACUCAAAGGAAUUGACGGGGCCCCGCACAAGCGGCGGAGCAUGCGGAUUAAUUCGAUGCAACGCGUAGAACCUUACCUGGGUUUGACAUGGAUCGGGAGUGCUCAGAGAUGGGUGUGCCUCUUUUGGGGUCGGUUCACAGGUGGUGCAUGGCUGUCGUCAGCUCGUGUCGUGAGAUGUUGGGUUAAGUCCCGCAACGAGCGCAACCCUUGUUCACUGUUGCCAGCACGUUAUGGUGGGGACUCAGUGGAGACCGCCGGGGUCAACUCGGAGGAAGGUGGGGAUGACGUCAAGUCAUCAUGCCCCUUAUGCCCAGGGCUUCACGCAUGCUACAAUGGCUGGUACAGAGAGUGGCGAGCCUGUGAGGGUGAGCGAAUCUCGGAAAGCCGGUCUCAGUUCGGAUUGGGGUCUGCAACUCGACCUCAUGAAGUCGGAGUCGCUAGUAAUCGCAGAUCAGCAACGCUGCGGUGAAUACGUUCCCGGG
rnacentral:rRNA from 1 species